GCUCACCUGGAUGCCUGCCUGGGGCCUGCUUGGAUUCGACCGCUAGAAUCAGAGAAUCGUAGGCCUGGAAGGGACCUCGAGAGGUCAUCUAGUCCAGUCCCUGCCCUCAUGACAGGGCUAAGUACUAUCUAGACCCCGUCCCUGACAGGAGUUUGGGGGGUUUUAAGAGCAGGUUAGGCAAUGAGGGAGAUUCCAACAACCUCCCUUGCCCCAGGCCUGCCCCUUGUGCAGCCAUUUACCCCAGUGCAAAAUGGGUCCUGUUCCUGGCUUCUCCUGUGGUCCCUUGAACCAGCGCCGGUGAGGACACACGGUGCGGGGUGCCGUUGCAGGCUCUUCCUUGUGGUUAGGUUUCCCCUCUCCAGCCAGUGUGGCAGCUAAUUAAUUCAUGGCUGUACGGUUCUCUGCAAACGUGCAGCCCUUGUUGUUAUGAAUCAUUAUGUUCCCCAGCGCCUCAGCAGAGAGCAGCCUUUUAAAAAACUUGAUGUGGCGACUAAUUGGAACCAAAAGCACAAAUCCUAACGUGUUACGGAGCUCAAUUCUCCUCUCGCUCUGGUGCAGAUCAGGAGUAACUCUUAAAAUCAAUAGGGGUGCCGUAACUGGUCAGUGGCCUUGACCCCUCUUAGAAGAAAAAUAUUUUUCAAGGCAGAGAAGUAAACACAAGGCAGAUCUAGGUUCACAUGCAUGUAUGGUACUGUAACAAGCCCUAGGCGUUCUUGCAAAUCAAAUUUUGCAUAACGGUACUUGCCAAACCAGUAGAUUCCAUAAGACUGGCUACUUACCAGCCUGGGUACACACAUGAUUUCCUCAGUAUUGUAUCUGAGUGCCUAUGUUAACAGAACUAAUCAUUCACAGUCCUGGUCAUGGUGGAAGUCAUGAGACUCAAACCUGAUCAAAGAGCAAGUUUUGCUGCUGUAUUUAUCUUGCAGUUUCUGACCCACUCCGCUCUCAGUUCGCCUGGCCCAGAUUCAAACUCCCCUAUGUCCUGUUCCGUAUCUCCUCUUAUCUGGGGGUGAGCUUGAUUUCCUCUUUAUCCUCAGUUCUUAACAGCAGAAAUACUGCCAUGUGAAACUGACCUUAUGAACCCUUGUGUGCAUGAAAUUAAUCCUGCAGCUGUUAAACUUUGUGCAAUGUUUUUUGUCCCCUGCACUUUGCGUUUUGAAAGGUUGCGAUAUCCUAAAAACCUUCUGUAUGUUGCCACCGCUAUGAAUUCUGGGCCUGUGGGCACAACACAUUCAGUGAACCUUUGCUAUAUCACCGUCCUGUGCCCCUGUUUCCCCAAAUCGUGAUAAUGAUGCUUACCUACUUCGUAAAGUGCUUUGAGAUCUACUGGUGGAAAGCACUAAAUUCAAGAGAUAGGUAUUCUUGUUACGUGAAGACUGGAUAUAUGUAUCCUCCUGAAAGUACCAGCAUUCUGAAUUACAGAGGGGACAAACGACAAAUGCAAAGAAUGUUUGUUUUUGCAAAGAAAGAAGAUAAAUGUCUGUUGUUGCUUAGUAGUUAGGUACAAAUGUAUUGAGAAAAGUAGCACAUCGUUCCAGCUAGACCUUCACGUCUGUAAAUGUAUUUUUUCGCCUCUUGGGUCAGAGCAUGUAUUUAGGGGUGAGCGUAUUCGCUUUGCGCUCAGAGGAAUGUAGGAUGAAAUAAAAACAUCGUUUCUUAGUACGCAGUUGCUAAGUGAGGACAUAGGCAAUGCUUUCCUCGGGCAGUCCUGUAGUGGGCUUCCUUAAAGGAUUCACAGCGACAUCAAGCCAAAAUUGCUCUAAUUUGAAUUUUAAAAACUGAGCUGAAUGCAGUUUAGUUCUUGUACUAAAUAAUGACCUGUCCUAAUUACAUAAUUUGCACCACACACACCUCCUGUGUUCUCACAUUUUCCUGUAUAGCUACAGUGUGUCUAGGAGAACUUGCUAAGAACUCUUGGCUUUAAAUAGAACUAUUUAAGUUUUAAAAUAA